rnacentral:lncRNA from 1 species
CUGGCCAGCUGCUUGUUCUUCCAGUACAGGAACAGGAAAAUGUCAGCUUGAGAAUCCAGCAGCUACAGAAAACUGGGUCAGGUCAUGACUGUCUUGCUUCAUUUCUGAGGAUGUUGUCUAAGAGAGUAGCUUUACACUUGGACCACCACCUUCACUGGGACCUAACCUUCACCUGCAGUCAGCACUGCUCAUAAAACACCUUUUGCAUCUUUUGAGUCUCACUGCUGAGGAAAGUUCCCUGUUGUCAGUGUGGAGACCAGGAGAGGUAAAAGGUAAGAGGUGUCUCUCUUUUUUUUUGUAUUGCUCACUUGUUCCUAACAACUCCUCCAAGCAAUACUUCUA